GAUGAACGCUAGCGGCGUGCCUAAUACAUGCAAGUCGAGCGAACGGACGAGAAGCUUGCUUCUCUGAUGUUAGCGGCGGACGGGUAAGUAACACGUGGAUAACCUACCUAUAAGACUGGGAUAACUUCGGGAAACCGGAGCUAAUACCGGAUAAUAUUUUGAACCGCAUGGUUCAAAAGUGAAAGACGGUCUUGCUGUCGCUUAUAGAUGGAUCCGCGCUGCAUUAGCUAGUUGGUAAGGUAACGGCUUACCAAGGCAACGAUGCAUAGCCGACCUGAGAGGGUGAUCGGCCACACUGGAACUGAGACACGGUCCAGACUCCUACGGGAGGCAGCAGUAGGGAAUCUUCCGCAAUGGGCGAAAGCCUGACGGAGCAACGCCGCGUGAGUGAUGAAGGUCUUCGGAUCGUAAAACUCUGUUAUUAGGGAAGAACAUAUGUGUAAGUAACUGUGCACAUCUUGACGGUACCUAAUCAGAAAGCCACGGCUAACUACGUG
rnacentral:rRNA from 1 species